AGAGUUUGAUCAUGGCUCAGAUUGAACGCUGGCGGCAGGCCUAACACAUGCAAGUCGAACGGUAACAGGAAGCAGCUUGCUGCUUCGCUGACGAGUGGCGGACGGGUGAGUAAUGUCUGGGAAGCUGCCUGAUGGAGGGGGAUAACUACUGAAAACGGUAGCUAAUACCGCAUAAUGUCGCAAGACCAAAGAGGGGGACCUUCGGGCCUCUUGCCAUCGGAUGUGCCCAGAUGGGAUUAGCUUGUUGGUGGGGUAACGGCUCACCAAGGCGACGAUCCCUAGCUGGUCUGAGAGGAUGACCAGCCACACUGGAACUGAGACACGGUCCAGACUCCUACGGGAGGCAGCAGUGGGGAAUAUUGCACAAUGGGCGCAAGCCUGAUGCAGCCAUGCCGCGUGUAUGAAGAAGGCCUUCGGGUUGUAAAGUACUUUCAGCGGGGAGGAAGGGAGUAAAGUUAAUACCUUUGCUCAUUGACGUUACCCGCAGAAGAAGCACCGGCUAACUCCGUGCCAGCAGCCGCGGUAAUACGGAGGGUGCAAGCGUUAAUCGGAAUUACUGGGCGUAAAGCGCACGCAGGCGGUUUGUUAAGUCAGAUGUGAAAUCCCCGGGCUCAACCUGGGAACUGCAUCUGAUACUGGCAAGCUUGAGUCUCGUAGAGGGGGGUAGAAUUCCAGGUGUAGCGGUGAAAUGCGUAGAGAUCUGGAGGAAUACCGGUGGCGAAGGCGGCCCCCUGGACGAAGACUGACGCUCAGGUGCGAAAGCGUGGGGAGCAAACAGGAUUAGAUACCCUGGUAGUCCACGCCGUAAACGAUGUCGACUUGGAGGUUGUGCCCUUGAGGCGUGGCUUCCGGAGCUAACGCGUUAAGUCGACCGCCUGGGGAGUACGGCCGCAAGGUUAAAACUCAAAUGAAUUGACGGGGGCCCGCACAAGCGGUGGAGCAUGUGGUUUAAUUCGAUGCAACGCGAAGAACCUUACCUGGUCUUGACAUCCACGGAAGUUUUCAGAGAUGAGAAUGUGCCUUCGGGAACCGUGAGACAGGUGCUGCAUGGCUGUCGUCAGCUCGUGUUGUGAAAUGUUGGGUUAAGUCCCGCAACGAGCGCAACCCUUAUCCUUUGUUGCCAGCGGUCCGGCCGGGAACUCAAGGGAGACUGCCAGUGAUAAACUGGAGGAAGGUGGGGAUGACGUCGAGUCAUCAUGGCCCUUACGACCAGGGCUACACACGUGCUACAAUGGCGCAUACAAAGAGAAGCGACCUCGCGAGAGCAAGCGGACCUCAUAAAGUGCGUCGUAGUCCGGAUUGGAGUCUGCAACUCGACUCCAUGAAGUCGGAAUCGCUAGUAAUCGUGGAUCGGAAUGCCACGGUGAAUACGUUCCCGGGCCUUGUACACACCGCCCGUCACACCAUGGGAGUGGGUUGCAAAAGAAGUAGGUAGCUUAACCUUCGGGAGGGCGCUUACCACUUUGUGAUUCAUGACUGGGGUGAAGUCGGAACAAGGUA
rnacentral:rRNA from 1 species